CCCUUAGAUGUUCUGGGCUGCACGCGUGCUACACUGAUAUUGCCAAUAUGUCAUUCUUAUCCGAAAUGGAUUGGGUAAUCAAGUAAUGAAAUUUCAUGCUUGGAAUCGGUAAUUGCAAUUUUAUCGUGAACGAGGAAUUCCUAGUAAGCACUAGUCAUCAGCUAAUGUUGAUUAUGUCCCUGCCCUUUGUACACACCGCCCGUCGCUACUACUGAUUGGGUGUUCAAGUGAGAUGCUUAGACCCUUGUUGCAUGGUUCAUUAUUGUGCUCCGAAGGGAAAAAGUUUCAAGCUUGAGUGUCUAGAGGAAGUAAAAGUCGUAACA
rnacentral:rRNA from 1 species